rnacentral:rRNA from 1 species
CGCGGCCUAUCAGCUUGUUGGUGGGGUAAUGGCCUACCAAGGCGACGACGGGUAGCCGGCCUGAGAGGGUGACCGGCCACACUGGGACUGAGACACGGCCCAGACUCCUACGGGAGGCAGCAGUGGGGAAUAUUGGACAAUGGGCGAAAGCCUGAUCCAGCAACGCCGCGUGAGGGAUGACGGCCUUCGGGUUGUAAACCUCUUUCAGUACCGACGAAGCGAAAGUGACGGUAGGUACAGAAGAAGCACCGGCCAACUACGUGCCAGCAGCCGCGGUAAUACGUAGGGUGCGAGCGUUGUCCGGAAUUAUUGGGCGUAAAGGGCUCGUAGGCGGUUUGUCACGUCGGGAGUGAAAACUCGGGGCUUAACCCCGAGCCUGCUUCCGAUACGGGCUGACUAGAGGUAUGCAGGGGAGAACGGAAUUCCUGGUGUAGCGGUGAAAUGCGCAGAUAUCAGGAGGAACACCGGUGGCGAAGGCGGUUCUCUGGGCAUUACCUGACGCUGAGGAGCGAAAGUGUGGGGAGCGAACAGGAUUAGAUACCCUGGUAGUCCACACCGUAAACGUUGGGCGCUAGGUGUGGGACUCAUUCCACGAGUUCCGUGCCGCAGCUAACGCAUUAAGCGCCCCGCCUGGGGAGUACGG